AGAACCGCGGCGCCACCUCCACGCCAGCCGGCCCUCCCGACGAGCAGGAAGCGCUCGGCACACUCCACCUCUCGGCGUCGGCCCCUUUUCCUGUGUGAGUUGCAUGUCGGGAGCGCGGAAAAAGGCCCCGUUGCAAGAGGGUCUGUUUCCUGAUCUGGACAACCUUGAAGACUUGACACUUUAGAGGCUCCUCCAGCAAUACAAGAGAUGGAAAAGUGACGAUUAGAAGCAUGUGUGUAUGGAAUGGAAGGGAGAAAGCUGGUGUGCAAGAGGACUAAGCACACCUACAGUCAAACAUGCCUUCAGCCCAUCUUAAUUCUGCUUCCCAUCGGAAUAUGUCUGUUCUUUGCCGUCUGCUUCUCCGGGCAGAGAAGAGGCACUGGGAUGAAUUUGGUGGAUGGAGGAGGGGUUAUUCCCAAGGAAGUAAGACUGAUCUUAAUAAGCAAGUGGGGAAGAUGGAUCAUCUAAAAAAUAAGGAACAAAGACAAAAACGGCUGUGGAAAAAGAUGGAGGCUAUUGAAGCUCAGAUGGCUGCUGGAUCCAAGGAAACUUCAAAUCAAGGCAAGAUCCUUUCCUCAAAAAACAUUGCAGAAUAUGACAUCCCAACUAUAGUUGGACAGAAAAAAGAUACCUCAGCACCUUUGCCCGCCUCCUACAGUCCACGCUAUGUUGAAGCUGCCUGGUAUCCUUGGUGGGUGAAAGAAGGUUUCUUUAAACCAGAAUUCCAGCAACACCUGCCCCAUAGGAAGCCAGAAACAUUUUCUAUCUCUCUCCCACCACCUAAUGUCACAGGAUCCCUUCACCUGGGGCAUGCCUUGACGGUAGCUAUCGAAGAUGCUUUGGUACGAUGGAGACGAAUGCAAGGCUAUCGAGUUCUCUGGCUUCCAGGUUCUGAUCAUGCUGGGAUUGCAACUCAGGCUGUGGUAGAAAAAAAGAUCUGGAAAGAACAGGGAGUUUUGCACCAGGAUCUCUCACGGGAUGAAUUUCUCCAAGAAGUUUGGAAGUGGAUCGAGGAGAAAGGGAAUGAAAUAUUCCAACAGCUGAAAGAGAUGGGAGCAUCUUUGGACUGGGACAGAGCCUGCUUUACUAUGGAUUCACGUUUCUCUCAAGCCGUGAAAGAGGCUUUUGUGCAACUUCACGAACAAGGCCUGAUAUAUCGAGACAAGCGCCUGGUGAACUGGUCUUGUGCCUUGCAGUCGGCCAUUUCUGACAUCGAGGUGGAGAAUAGACAGAUAGAAGGACGGACAAAGCUCUCUGUGCCUGGACUUGAGGACAAAGUGCUGUUUGGGGUAUUGGAGACGUUUGCCUACAAAGUCGAAGGAGAGGAAAGCAUGGAAGUUCCUAUAUCUACUACUCGCCCUGAGACAAUGUUUGGCGAUGUGGCUGUUGCCAUUCACCCUGAUGACUCACGCUACUUGCACUUGCACGGCAAGAGAGUCUGCCACCCGUUCACCGGACGUCUCCUUCCUAUCGUUACGGAUCCAGCCGUGGAGCUGCAGAUGGGCACAGGGGCUGUGAAGGUCACUCCAGCACACAACCACGCUGACUACAAACUGGCCCAGAGGCACAACUUGCCACUCGUUUCAGUUAUUGCAGACGACGGCACGAUGACCGCAGAAUGUGGGGAAUGGGUGCAGGGACUGCAUCGAUUCCUGGCUCGAGAGAAAGUGUUGGCUGCUUUGAAGGAGAAAGGGCUCUAUCGGGGUGCGAAAGACCAUUGCUUAGUCCUUCCUGUUUGCAGCCGCUCUGGAGAUGUGAUUGAAAUCCUCUUGAAGAACCAGUGGUUUGUCCGAUGUGAAGCUAUUGCUCAAAGCGCCUUAGAGGCAGUGGAAUCUGGAUCUUUGAAGCUGACCCCCCAAUUUUAUAAGAAAAACUGGAGAACCUGGCUCUUGAACAUCAAUGAUUGGUGUAUUUCUCGACAAUUGUGGUGGGGCCAUCAGAUUCCAGCCUAUCAGGUCAUGCUUCCUGGGUCACCUGACCUAGAAGAGCAGAGGGAGAGCAAUGGAUUAUGGGUAGUGGGCAGGACAGAAGCAGAAGCCCGGAGGAAAGCAGCCGGCAUGCUGGGAAAAUCUGAACAGCAGCUGGAGCUGGUGAAAGAUGCUGAUGUCUUGGAUACUUGGUUCUCCUCCAGCCUCUUCCCUUUUGCUGCUUUGGGCUGGCCCCAGAAGACAGAAGACCUCCAGCAGUUCUUUCCCAACAACCUUUUGGAGACUGGGAGUGAUCUUCUGUUCUUUUGGGUCGCCCGGAUGGUGAUGCUGGGAAAACAGCUAACUGGAGAACUGCCUUUCUCUCAGGUGUUCCUUCACUCCUUAAUCCAUGAUGCCCAUGGCAGGAAAAUGAGCAAGUCUCUUGGGAAUGUGAUUGACCCUUUGGAUGUUGUUCAUGGGGCCUCUUUGCAGGUCCUACAGCAGAAGCUAAAGGAUAGCAAUUUGAGCCCACGAGAGAUUGUCAUUGGUUCCGAAGGCCUGCUGCAAAAUUUUCCUCAAGGAAUUGCCGAAAGUGGUUCUGAUGCUCUAAGGUUUGCUCUCUGCCGUUAUGACGCUCACGGCACCAGUAUUAAUCUAAAUAUGGCAGCCAUGGAAAAAGCCUCUCAUUUCUGCAACAAGGUGUGGAAUGCCCUAAAGUUCACUUUGGCAGCCUUGGGAGAAGAAUUUGCCCCUCUGGAUCCAGAGCAGGUCUUCCCAAGCUUUCCGAUGGAACAGUGGAUCUUGAGCCGUCUCUAUCACACGGCAGAAUAUUGUGCCCAGCACUUUGAGGAGUACAAAUUGCAUUCUGUGGCCAAUGCUGUUUAUCUGUUCUGGCUGCAGGAUUUUUGCAGCACCUAUCUGGACUCUGUCAAGCCCACCCUGAGGAGUGGAGAUCCAGCUUGCCUUUUGUCUACUCGGCAGAUUUUGUACAAUUGCGUAGACCUGGCUCUGCGCCUCCUGUCCCCCUUCAUGCCUUUCCUCACGGAGGAGCUGUGGCAGCGGCUUCCCAAGACAGAGCUGGAGACUUCUCCUAGUAUCUGUGUGGCCAGGUACCCAAGCCCCGAACAUCUGAGACAUUGGAGUAAUCCUGAGGAAGAGGCAAACUUCUCGUUAGUGCAGGAAAUUAUCCAAGUGAUACGUUCCACGAGGGCGACUUACCAGCUAACCAAAGCUCGACCAACAGUGUAUCUGGCUUGCUCAGAAACAGCCCCCUGGGCUACCUAUGAGAAAUAUCAGGAGCCACUACAGACAUUGUCUUUGGCUGGAUCUGUGCAUCUUCUCCCCAAUUCUGAGGAAAUAGAGCUACCUCUGAACUGCCUGGCUGUGAAGGUCAAUGGUCACACUAGCCUUUACAUGGAUCUGCAGGAUUUGGUGGAUCCUCACAAAGAACUCCUCAAACUGACAUCUCGGCAACAGAAAUUAAAGCAACGGCUGGCAAACCUCACAGAAAAACUUCAGAAGCAAAACUCCUUAAAAGCCAAAUUGAAUCAUGAGCAAAAGAUUUCUUUGCUUCGUUCGGAGUUGGAGCACACAGAACAGAUGUUUGCCACUUUUCAGAAAAUGGCUGAACACCAGAAUGCUCAACUGACUUAGGAGAAUUAGUGGAUUUACUUUGUUCCAGAUAGCAGAAUUAACUCCAAAGCAAAAGAUGCUGAGCUUGAGGGCACAUGCUGAAAGGUUUACGAGAGUUUAGGCACCAUCACCUUCCGUGUUGCGAAUUGAUCCUGGAUUUUAUCACACAGGAUUCGGUGGCACCAGCCCCAAUUUCAGAAGCAUCAAUGGACUAACUAACAUAAGCAGUCAUGGAGUCUCCAUGGAAGAGAUGUGUUUUUUGUUUUUUACCUAGGAUCCUUUAUUUCUAAUGGAAAUGUGAAUUCUAACAAGAAAUCAAUGUUCUUUCUACAAAAUGCAUUCUUUGCCCACAACGUAGCCAGAUUUCUUGGACGGUCAGCACAUUAUUGUAAAAUCUCAGCCCAGGAGAAUGUAUUUCGAACUCUCCCAGAAAUACCUCCACAUUGAGAGCAAAAUGCACGAGCCUGACCGUCCAAGGGAAGAAGUCACAAGAAAUUCACAUAAUGAUGGAGGCUGAGAAAAUAUUAUUAGAGCCAUCAUGGUGGCAUCUGCGGGGAAACCUGUUUUCGACAUGAAUGUAUUACUUAACAGAUGGUUGAGAAACACUGAUAUAGAUUAUUUGGACAAGGAUAGGAAUGUCUGAAAUAUGCCAUGGCUCGUUGUUCUAAUUUUCUAAUAGAGGGAAAACGGGCAUUGUAUUUUUCCCCUAGGGAUAAAUUCUUUUCCAUUAGCAGGGAUGAUCAAAUGGGUAACAUUUUUUUGCCCCCUUUGACUACACAGCUCAGAUUGUUUCACGUGACUUGGAGUAUAAUAUUGUUUGGUACCCUAUUAAAAUAUUUUAUGUUUUUAAAA